UGAGGAAUAUUGCGCAAUGGGGGCAACCCUGACGCAGCAACGCCGCGUGAGUGAGGAAGGUUUUCGGACCGUAAAGCCCUGUCGAGCGGGAAGAAAUGCAUGGUGGCUAAUAUCCAUCAUGCUUGACGGUACCGCUAAAGGAAGCACCGGCUAACUCCGUGCCAACAGCCGCGGUAAUACGGGGGGUGCGAGCGUUGUUCGGAAUUAUUGGGCGUAAAGAGCGUGUAGGCGGCCGAAUAAGUCAGAUGUGAAAUCCCUGGGCUUAACCCAGGACGUGCAUUUGAAACUAUUCGGCUAGAGUAGGGGAGAGGAAAGUGGAAUUCCUGGUGUAGAGGUGAAAUUCGUAGGUAUCAGGAGGAACACCGGUGGCGAAGGCGACUUUCUGGCCCUAUACUGACGCUGAGGCGCGAGAGCGUGGGUAGCAAACAG
rnacentral:rRNA from 1 species